rnacentral:rRNA from 1 species
GACGAACGCUGGCGGCGUGCUUAACACAUGCAAGUCGAGCGGUAAGGCCCUUUCGGGGGUACACGAGCGCGAACGGGUGAGUAACACGUGGGUGACCUGCCCUCAGCUCUGGGAUAAGCCUGGGAAACCGGGUCUAAUACCGGAUAUGACUCCAUGACGCAUGUUGUGGGGUGGAAAGCCUUGUGCGGCUGAGGAUGGGCCCGCGGCCGUACUCAGCUUGUUGGUGGGGUGAUGGCCUACCAAGGCGACGACGGGUAGCCGG